GCUUCCUACGGGAGGCAGCAGUGGGGAAUCUUGCGCAAUGGUCGAAAGACUGACGCAGCGACGCCGCGUGUGGGAUGACGCCUUUCGGGGUGUAAACCACUGUUGCCCGGGACGAACAGCGUCUUUCGAGACGCCUGACGGUACCGGGUGAGGAAGCACCGGCUAACUCCGUGCCAGCAGCCGCGGUAAUACGGAGGGUGCGAGCGUUGUCCGGAAUCGCUGGGCGUAAAGGGCGCGUAGGCGGCCCGGAUAGUCAACGGUGAAAGCUUGGGGCUCAACCCCGAGUCGGCCGUCGAUACUGCCGGGCUCGAGCACUGUAGAGGCAGGUGGAAUUCCGGGUGUAGCGGUGGAAUGCGUAGAGAUCCGGACGAACACCGGUGGCGAAGGCGGCCUGCUGGGCAGUAGCUGACGCUGAGGCGCGACAGCGUGGGGAGCAAACAGGAUUAGAUACCCUGGUAGUCCACGCCGUAAACGAUGGGCACUAGGUGCUUGGGGGAGCGACCCCCUGAGUGCCGGCGCUAACGCAUUAAGUGCCCCGCCUGGGGAGUACGGCCGCAAGGCUGAAACUCAAAGGAAUUGACGGAAGCC
rnacentral:rRNA from 1 species